rnacentral:rRNA from 16 species
AAAUUGAAGAGUUUGAUCAUGGCUCAGAUUGAACGCUGGCGGCAGGCCUAACACAUGCAAGUCGAACGGUAGCACAGAGAGC